GAUGAACGCUGGCGGCGUGCUUAACACAUGCAAGUCGAACGGAAAGGCCCAAGCUUGCUUGGGUACUCGAGUGGCGAACGGGUGAGUAACACGUGGGUGAUCUGCCCUGCACUUCGGGAUAAGCCUGGGAAACUGGGUCUAAUACCGGAUAGGACCACUUCUUGGAUGUUGUGGUGGAAAGUUUUUUCGGUGUGGGAUGAGCUCGCGGCCUAUCAGCUUGUUGGUGGGGUAAUGGCCUACCAAGGCGUCGACGGGUAGCCGGCCUGAGAGGGUGUACGGCCACAUUGGGACUGAGAUACGGCCCAGACUCCUACGGGAGGCAGCAGUGGGGAAUAUUGAACAAUGGGCGCCAGCCUGAUGCAGCGACGCCGCGUGUGGGAUGACGGCCUUCGGGUUGUAAACUCCUUUCGCUAGGGACGAAGCGUUUUGUGACGGUACCUGGAGAAGAAGCACCGGCUAACUACGUG
rnacentral:rRNA from 1 species